rnacentral:pre_miRNA from 1 species
UUUUUAAAAACUCAUCUAUUUAUAUUGUUAAAAACUAACGUAGUUAACAGAAUAAUCAAAUAGUGACAUGUAACUUACCACAUGUAUCCCAUAUUAGCGUACAAAAAAUAACUUUUAACAAUAAAAAUAAAUAAAUUUUUUGACA